rnacentral:rRNA from 1 species
AAUGGGGGAAACCCUGAUGCAGCAACGCCGCGUGAGCGACGAAGGCCUUCGGGUUGUAAAGCUCUGUCUUCAUUGACGAAGUAUGACGGUAAGUGAGGAGGAAGCCACGGCUAACUACGUGCCAGCAGCCGCGGUAAUACGUAGGUGGCAAGCGUUGUCCGGAAUUAUUGGGCGUAAAGGGUGCGUNGGCGGUCUUUUAAGUGGGAUGUGAAAUACCUNGGCUUAACUUAGGAAUGGCAUUCAGAACUGGAAGACUAGGGUGCAGGAGAGGAAAGUGGAAUUCCCAGUGUAGCGGUGAAAUGCGUAGAGAUUGGGAGGAACACCAGUGGCGAAGGCGGCUCUCUGGACCGAUACUGACGCUGAGACGCGAAAGCGUGGGUAGCAAA